rnacentral:rRNA from 1 species
CCCAACUAUCCCUAUUAAUCAUUACGUCAAUCCUAGAAACCAACAAAAUAGGAUCGAUCGUCCUAUUUCAUUAUUCCAUGCUAAUGUAUUCAAGCGUUAGCUUGCUUUAAACACUCUAAUUUUUUCAAAGUAACAGUCCAGUUUCCCCGCAACACCAAAUUAAUGGCAUUACGGUUCAUCAGGAAGGAGGAAUCAGUAAGACCAGUGCAUACCAGUGGCACGACCAACCUACUAACCCCGAAAUUCAACUA